GACCAACGCUGGCGGCGUGCUUAACACAUGCAAGUCGAACGGAAAGGCCCUGCUUUUGUGGGGUGCUCGAGUGGCGAACGGGUGAGUAACACGUGAGUAACCUGCCCUUGACUUUGGGAUAACUUCAGGAAACUGGGGCUAAUACCGGAUAGGAGCUCCUGCUGCAUGGUGGGGGUUGGAAAGUUUCGGCGGUUGGGGAUGGACUCGCGGCUUAUCAGCUUGUUGGUGGGGUAGUGGCUUACCAAGGCUUUGACGGGUAGCCGGCCUGAGAGGGUGACCGGCCACAUUGGGACUGAGAUACGGCCCAGACUCCUACGGGAGGCAGCAGGGGGGAAUAUUGCACAAUGGGCGGAAGCCUGAUGCAGCAACGCCGCGUGCGGGAUGACGGCCUUCGGGUUGUAAACCGCUUUCGCCUGUGACGAAGCGUGAGUGACGGUAAUGGUUAAAGAAGCACCGGCUAACUACGUG
rnacentral:rRNA from 1 species